rnacentral:rRNA from 1 species
UACGUAGGUGGCAAGCGUUGUCCGGAAUUAUUGGGCGUAAAGGGCUCGCAGGCGGUUUCUUAAGUCUGAUGUGAAAGCCCCCGGCUCAACCGGGGAGGGUCAUUGGAAACUGGGAAACUUGAGUGCAGAAGAGGAGAGUGGAAUUCCACGUGUAGCGGUGAAAUGCGUAGGGAUGUGGAGGAACACCAGUGGCGAAGGCGACUCUCUGGUCUGUAACUGACGCUGAGGAGCGAAAGCUAGGGUAGCAAACGGG